rnacentral:rRNA from 1 species
AUGCUUGCUGGUUUGUGUCAACGAGCUUCUCUUAUUUUGUGGGACGAAGCUCCUAUGACUAGCCGUCUAUGUUUUGAAGCCUUAGAUAGAACGCUGAGGGAUAUUUUAUCUGUUCACAAUGAAGCUAAUGGCCUGUUGCCUUUCGUGGGUAAAGUUAUGGUGUUGGGUGGUGAUUUCAGACAGAUUUUGCCGGUCGUGGAAGGUGGCACAAAGGAAGAUAUCCUUGAUGCGUCCUUGGUUACUUCCCCGCUUUGGCAUUAUCUUAAGAUCUUUAAGUUGCAUACUAACAUGCGCCUUUGUAAUCCUGAGUUGUCCUAUGAAGCACGGUCAGAGUUAGCUAUGUUUUCAAGUUGGGUACAGAGUAUUGGCGAUGGAUCUGUUGAGAUGCAGUGCAAAGGUGAUGAGUCCUCUCCUUCGUGGGUUUCUAUUCCCGAGGAUAUGUUACUAUUUCCA